CACUAGCUGGCUUCAGUACUACCAACUAAACAAUAAAUUUGCUCAUGAUAAGAAAAUUGGCUUCUUGAAGGAAGAGUCUAAAUUCCUAUCAGAAAUUCUACAAAACACAAAGAAAAACCUUUCUAAAAUGUAUAAUUUGUUACUUGAGUGGGAAUUAAAAGAUGAACAAACAAAAGAAUUUAUGAUAAAAUGGGGACAAGAUUUGGGCUAUGCAAUUUGGUUUGAGAGGUGGGAAAAGUUAUGGGAAAAUGAUACAAAUGUUUCUGCAUGUGCUAUUAUUAAAGAAAUAUCAUGAAGAUGUGUUAUAGGUGGUACAUAACCCCAGUUAAAUUGGCAAAAAAUUAUAAAUUACCUUCAAAUCUAUGCUGGAGAUGUAAA